UUUUUUUUUUUUUUUUUUUUGUCUUUUGUCUUUUUGUUGUUGUUGUUGUUAUUGUUGCUAUUUCUUGGGCCGCUCCCGCGGCAUAUGGAGGUUCCCAGGCUAGGGGUUGAAUCGGAGCUGUAGCCACCGACCUACGCCAGAGCCACAGCAACGUGGGAUCCGAGCCGUGUCUGCAACCUACACCACAGCUCACGGCAACGCCGGAUCGUUAACCCACUGAGCAAGGGCAGGGACCGAACCUGCAACCUCAUGGUUCCUAGUCGGAUUCGUUAACCACUGCGCCACGACGGGAACUCCUCAAAUUUUUUUUAAAACUUGAAAAGCACAUGGAACCACCAGUCUUAAAAUCUGGAGGCAAGCCCUGGAGCUCCAGCCAAAUGUAUUUUCCCGGGGUAGGCAGCACAGGGGAGCAGAGUCCUCUCCUCCAGCUAAGUUGUUGUCCAAAGAAUGUGCCAUCCCUCCAAGGCAGCUGUAUUUCAGGAAAGGCACCAUUACAUUUCGUUGUCCCCUUUUGAUUCCACAAAGGUUACGGCUAAGUACUGUGUGUCUCCAACACAGUCAAGAACUUUUAAACAUAAGGAUGUGAAAAAGAAAAAUGAAACUAAUUCAGAUUACGUGAUCUUUUUCUUUUGUCAUUGUGGUACAAAUUACAUAUCACCUCAGGCUUACACAAACUAGGAUUUUUUUUUUUUUUAAUGGCCGUACCCAAGGCAUAUGGAGGUUCCCAGGCAAGAGGCUGAUCAGAGUUACAGCUGCAGGCCUACACCACAGCCACAGCAAUGUCAGAUCCGAGCCCCGAGUUUGUGACCUACACCACAGCUCAUGGCAAUACCGAUCCCUGACCCACUGAGCAAGACCAGGGAUCUGUGUUCUCAUGGGCAUUAAUUGGGAUUCGUUUCUGUUGCACCACGACAGUAACUCCCAAGCUAGGAUUUUUUAAGAGCUGGCAUUCAGCAUUUUAAGUAAGGAACCAGAGGAAAUGAUUUUAAGUUGCAGACAUGAGCACUGGGUGACUUUACUCUCUAGAUCAUCAAGUUCAGCUCUGUCUUCAGGCCUCGUGAUGGUUUAAAAGCUCUCCGAAGGUCCUGUAAGUAAUAGAACGUUGACACAAACUCAACCCCUGGUAGCUUCAGAUAAGCUCUCUUCACUGAGACUUGGUCUCCAUGCAGGAGUGUCAAAGCAAAGUGAUGCUAACGUGUUUGUCUGAACACCAAGUUGGACCGAUGACCUUCAAUAAAAACUCUGGCACCUUCCAGCUCCCUCCUGACUGGCAGUGGCCUGUCAGAGAGCAGCUUGAAGAGGCCUUAGGAUACCUACAGCUCUGAGCUGCCUUAAAGGAAGUUCUUCUGAAUUUGCUAACACAGGAAUCUCACCUAUUGCAUCAUCCAAACAAUACUGUUGGUAAAACAUUAUUAAUUCUGUCAACAUUGACAGAAUUUGGUUAUAACAGACAGUAAUGGCAAAAGAAUAAUGGACAUGUGGCUUAAGUGACAAAUUUACACAAUAAAUUCGGCAACUGACCUUAAAAAACUAUUCCUCUAAGGUUUCUGAGUAGCAGAUCUGGAAAUGACUUCCUAUAAUCUAGCUCUUGCCAGAAAAGUGAAACUUGAAGAGAGGAGAACUUCCCGAACUAUGAUGACAAAACAAACGUCAUCUUUCCUCAGCCUCUUCUUCAAACUUUCACAAAACAGCUACAUCAAAAACAAAAAAUGUGGCAAGACCUGGACAUUUAAAUAAGCACAACACUGUGGCACCUGGGGACACUUGCAGCCAUUCCAAACCUCAUCCAAAAGUAGCCAUAGCUAUGAAAACUCAACCUGUAUGAUAUACCUGCCUCUACCUGAGUUUGUCCCAAGUCUCUAUUUCUUAAAUGUUCCCAAUUAACUAAUCACUAUAUUGCUGGCCACACCCAAGGCAUGUGGAAAUUCCCAGGUGGGGCCAAAAAAUAAAACAAAUAAAAUAAAAAAUAAAUUUAGAAAAUAAAAGGAAGCAUAUUAACAGUUGGGGCACUUAUUCCUGCACUAACAAGAAGCUUAGAAGUCUGAACUUUAAAAGGCAAGGGCACUUUUAUAAUGGUCUUAAUUAAGCUCCAUAACCUUGGAAGUAGGUUGGGUGAGGAAGGGGUGUGCUAUUCUAACGUACACACUGAUUGGCGAGAGCAUCCGUCUCUAGGUUCUCGUCCACGUGUUCGUUCAAGCCACCUACCAGCACUCUCCGUCUAGGCUGCAAGGUGAUAGAUAGCAUCAUUUUUGCUUCCUAUUUUCAAAAAAUGCCAGACUCCUCAAAUGACUCACUCCAUCACAGCUCUGCGCAGCGGCACGGGCACUACUGUGGAGGCACCGCGAGAAUUUCCACAUGUGGCAACCCGCUUCCGAUGCUGCCUUUGACCCUCCCGCAAGCGCCGCGCGCAGGAGCCACCAUCGCGCGGAGGCUGGGUCACAGCCUGCACCGAUGCGUCCACGCGCGAUCGGAGCGCGCCUCAAACCCCGCCCAGGGGCAGGAGGGAGGUCGGACCGAGAGAGCACCGUCACCGCGCCGCGGGAUCAUCCCUCGCAUCUGCAGCCCCGGGUCCCGCUUCUCGCCAGGCCGGUC
ensembl:lncRNA